AGUGAACGCUGGCGGUAGGCCUACCACAUGCAAGUCGAACGGCAGCACAGUAAGAGCUUGCUCUUACGGGUGGCGAGUGGCGGACGGGUGAGGAAUACAUCGGAAUCUACUUUUUCGUGGGGGAUAACGUAGGGAAACUUACGCUAAUACCGCAUACGACCUACGGGUGAAAGCAGGGGAUCUUCGGACCUUGCGCGAUUGAAUGAGCCGAUGUCGGAUUAGCUAGUUGGCGGGGUAAAGGCCCACCACGGCGACGAUCCGUAGCUGGUCUGAGGAUGAUCAGCCACACUGGAACUGAGACACGGUCCAGACUCCUACGGGAGGCAGCAGUGGGGAAUAUUGGACAAUGGGCGCAAGCCUGAUCCAGCCAUACCGCGUGGGUGAAGAAGGCCUUCGGGUUGUAAAGCCCUUUUGUUGGGAAAGAAAAGCAGCAGGUUAAUACCCCGCUGUUCUGACGGUACCCAAAGAAUAAGCACCGGCUAACUUCGUG
rnacentral:rRNA from 1 species